GUGGGGAAUAUUGGACAAUGGGGGGAACCCUGAUCCAGCCAUGCCGCGUGUGUGAAGAAGGCCUUUUGGUUGUAAAGCACUUUAAGCGAGGAGGAGGCUACCGAGAUUAAUACUCUUGGAUAGUGGACGUUACUCGCAGAAUAAGCACCGGCUAACUCUGUGCCAGCAGCCGCGGUAAUACAGAGGGUGCAAGCGUUAAUCGGAUUUACUGGGCGUAAAGCGCGCGUAGGUGGACAAUUACGUCAAAUGUGAAAUCCCCGAGCUUAACUUGGGAAUUGCAGUCGAUACUGGUUGGCUAGAGUAUGGGAGAGGAUGGUAGAAUUCCAGGUGUAGCGGUGAAAUGCGUAGAGAUCUGGAGGAAUACCGAUGGCGAAGGCAGCCAUCUGGCCUAAUACUGACACUGAGGUGCGAAAGCAUGGGGAGCAAACAGGAUUAGAAACCCGUGUAGUCC
rnacentral:rRNA from 1 species